AGAGUUUGAUCCUGGCUCAGAACGAACGCUGGCGGCAGGCUUAACACAUGCAAGUCGAACGCCCCGCAAGGGGAGUGGCAGACGGGUGAGUAACGCGUGGGAAUCUACCGUACCCUACGGAAUAACGCAUGGAAACGUGUGCUAAUACCGUAUACGCCCUUCGGGGGAAAGAUUUAUCGGGGUAUGAUGAGCCCGCGUUGGAUUAGCUAGUUGGUGGGGUAAAGGCCUACCAAGGCGACGAUCCAUAGCUGGUCUGAGAGGAUGAUCAGCCACAUUGGGACUGAGACACGGCCCAAACUCCUACGGGAGGCAGCAGUGGGGAAUAUUGGACAAUGGGCGCAAGCCUGAUCCAGCCAUGCCGCGUGAGUGAUGAAGGUCUUAGGAUUGUAAAGCUCUUUCACCGAUGAAGAUAAUGACGGUAGUCGGAGAAGAAGCCCCGGCUAACUUCGUGCCAGCAGCCGCGGUAAUACGAAGGGGGCUAGCGUUGUUCGGAAUUACUGGGCGUAAAGCGCACGUAGGCGGAUAUUUAAGUCAGGGGUGAAAUCCCGCAGCUCAACUGCGGAACUGCCUUUGAUACUGGGUAUCUCGAGUAUGGAAGAGGUGAGUGGAAUUCCGAGUGUAGAGGUGAAAUUCGUAGAUAUUCGGAGGAA
rnacentral:rRNA from 1 species